AUCACUUCUCUGCAUUUUGGCUAAGAUCAAGUGUAGAUUUUCAAAAGAAAAUCUGUUCUUAUCAGUUUAAUAUCUGAUACGUCUCCCAUCCGGGGACUACAUAUUAAAUAGGGGGAAGUUGUGGCCUAGUGGUUAGAGAGUUUGACUCCUA
ensembl:snRNA U2 U2 spliceosomal RNA